AUGUUUUCAUUACUGGGGUAUUUUGUGCCUCUUUUCACAUUCGUUUUAAAACGGGACACUGAAAACCAAGAUCUCCAGUCAUGUCCACACAGCAGCAGUGAUGAAACACUGCUGUCCCGCUCUCCUCUUCCUCCCACCGAGAGCAGUUUUAGCAGAACUCAGAGUCCACGCAGACCCCUGCACCCGCCCCCUCGCACAUCACCAGCGGGUAAGCCACGCCCUCUUACCGUCAGCACACACUCUGCAUACACUCUCAGAAAAAAAGGUACAAAUAAUGAUUAGGAGUACCUGAUUAUUAAACUACUCAAACAAACAUGUAUAUGUGUUAUUUUUCAGGCAUGUAGUAAUAGUAACAAUAGAUGUUAAUAAAUGCUGUAUUGACUCAAUUUCGUGUUGUUUUGUGUAAAUGAAUAGUUUGGAGAUAAAGUGUAAGCUUUUCUGGUGCAAUGUGCUUGGGGGAAUAAUAAUUCUGCAUGCGCUGUAUUAAUCUGCUCUCUGCACUGAAACGUCUCUUGAGCAGCAUAUCAUCAUGUUAGAGUGAUUUCUGAGGGAUCACAUGCUGAAUGUAACCUGACCAAUGAUGUGUCAGCAGCAGUCACAUGACCCUGUGUGGAGAGGUGUGUCAGUGAUGUCAUGAUGCUGUCUGUCACCAUGGUGCAGCAUUCAUGGUGUUCACACACACACUAGAAC
rnacentral:lncRNA from 1 species